UUAUUUGAAGUUAUUUGUGUAUUUUGGUUGUCUAGUCCUCUUGUUCUUUCACUUGCAACUUCUGUUUCUUCUUUCUAUGAAGUAUUUGAUCAUUGGGUGAUGGUGUUUUCCCUCCUUUAUUUGUACUAAUUGGCAAAGGGCUUCAGUUGGUAGGUACAGCCAAGAUUGCUAAGUUCACACAUGUUUUCACAAUUUUUCUUAUGUUCAAGAUGCAAAGCCCUACUCAAUAGAUUGGAUAGUGAUCAAAGAGGAGACAACUCUUAUAAAGAGAGUAAUAUGUCAAAACAGUACAGCUAACAACAAAAAAGAACCACAGUUGUUGCUUGCGUUUGUAAGACAUCAUAUCCUAGCUCAAGCCACGAUUGACUUGUCAAGAGUUAGUUUUCUUGAGGCAGGAAGUUGUAGAGUUCACAUAGUGCAAUGAAUUACCAGAUGAUUUCUGUUGAUGUUUUUCUUCAUGCAACAAUAACCUGAAAGUGGAGAAGUUAUUUUCUUAAUUUUUCAUAUAAUUAAGACUAAUCAAAUUUUUAAUUGAAGAACAAAGGUUCGUAUAUCUCUAGUAAAAGCAAGGUUUGUUCUGGAAAGAGUUACUUUAUACAAAGUUAAAAUUUGGGAAAAGGUAUAGUGGAAACAAUCCUUUCUUUUCCAACACAGGUCUUCACUAUCAAUAAUGUUGUUACUAUCUUCAAAGUUGAUAUGGUUAAAGAAACUAUUACAUUUUCUAAUUUUCAAGGUCAUUAUCAAGUCGUAUCAGUUACAUUAUAUUGACAGUCGAGGGUGGUAUAUAUUGAAGAUAAUUUUUCUCAUAGUCAAGUAAUUUGAAGCUCAUUUUAUGGGUCUCUUAUGUGUGGAAGAAUGAUGCAGCACUCUGAAAUCAUGUAAUGUGAUCUUCAGAAGUUGGUAAAUUGUUUGCUUACAGUGUACAUUAUCUUCAGAGUUGAUGGGUUAGAGUUCAAAUCUUCUUUCGAUUUAAUUAGAGUGAGUAAGCUUAGUUUCCAGGUUUUAUUUGACACUUUCUUGUCCUGGCAAUCACGUAGUAGCAGUUCUAGUAGUUGCUCGAGUGUACUGAAGUCUCUGGAGUAGAUGGCAUAUACUGUUGUCUCUACUUUGUUUGUUGCACAUCUCCACAUCAUAUGAGCUUCUGGGACUUACAGCGACUAGAACUUGACUAGUUAAUCUGAAGAACGAAAUUCUCCAACUUGAUCUCUACAGAUUAGUAGAGCAGCAGUUGAAGUCUUAUACAGUGAGAGAGUUAAAGUAAGUGGAGAUGGAAAUCUGAGAGUUUGUGCCAAACAGAGGUGCACUUUCUACAUACAAACAAUAUUCUAAAGCAGCAAUAGAAGUCUUGUAUGGUGAGAGAGCAAAAGUGCAUGGAGAUGUAAAUGAAAUCAAAUGGAGGUGAUAGUCACUUAAGGUCGAGGAUGCCGGGUUCCAUUGAUACUUAUUUUAGAGGAAGUAGGGGAGAAAGCCUUCAUGUUGAGACAAAAAUUCUUGACGAGGAUUCAAUUACUUGUGGCCUUCCAUGGGUCUUAUGCCAUAAAAGUAAUAAAUUAAAAUAAAUUCUUUAGGUAAAAUCAGAGAAAUAAGUUUAUAUGUAUCAGUAUAUGUAGUCAAAGGCAGCUCGGGAAAGCGUUUAAUGCCCUCUGAUAUGUAGUUUAUUCUUGUCAUGCCAUUAGUGAAUUAUGGUUUAUUAUUUUUCAGAGUUCCAAAGGCAGUUUGAACUGAACAGUUAAUUGGCAUGUUAAAAAGGUAUUUUUUUCA